rnacentral:tRNA from 1 species
GCCUGGUUGGCUCAGUCGGUUAAGCAUCUGACUUUGGCUCAGGUCAUGAUCUCGCGGUUUGUGAGUUCGAGCCCCGCGUCGGGCU